rnacentral:rRNA from 1 species
AUUGAACGCUGGCGGCAGGCCUAACACAUGCAAGUCGAAUGGUAACAGGAAACAGCUUGCUGUUUCGCUGACGAGUGGCGGACGGGUGAGUAAUGUCUGGGAAACUGCCUGAUGGAGGGGGAUAACUACUGGAAACGGUAGCUAAUACCGCAUAACGUCGCAAGACCAAAGAGGGGGGACCUUCGGGCCUCUUGCCAUCAGAUGUGCCCAGAUGGGAUUAGCUAGUAGGUGGGGUAACGGCUCACCUAGGCGACGAUCCCUAGCUGGUCUGAGAGGAUGACCAGCCACACUGGAACUGAGACACGGUCCAGACUCUACGGAGGCAGCAGUGGGGAAUAUUGCACAAUGGGCGCAAGCCUGAUGCAGCCAUGCCGCGUGUAUGAAGAAGGCC